rnacentral:lncRNA from 1 species
GAGGAGAUUUGGAUGUCUUGGGAGGGGCAACAGCUGGAACCAUGCAUGGUUUCCCUUCCAAGAUCAUCAACAUGUUGAAUCUAGGGAACGGAACUACAUUGUACUGCCGAAGGAAUUCCAUACCUAGAACAAUGGUGAAAUCGUCUAUUGUUGCCACCGAGAAGUCCACCUUGCCUAACCAGUCGCCAAGCUUCAACUCGGUCCCUGUUUCUACGCCAUCUACGGGUUUGGCCUGGGCAUUUACGGUCUUGAGCCAACCCUUGGAGUAUGUCACCUUGAGACCCAACCGUUCCGCCUCGGUUGGAGUCAUGAAAUUAUGAGUG